UACGGAGGGGGCUAGCGUUGUUCGGAAUUACUGGGCGUAAAGCGCACGUAGGCGGCUUUGCAAGUCAGAGGUGGAAGCCCGGGGCUCAACCCCGGAAUUGCCUUUGAGACUGCAUCGCUAGAAUUGUGGAGAGGUAAGUGGAAUUCCGAGUGUAGAGGUGAAAUUCGUAGAUAUUCGGAAGAACACCAGUGGCGAAGGCGACUUACUGGACACAUAUUGACGCUGAGGUGCGAAAGCGUGGGGAGCAAACAGG
rnacentral:rRNA from 1 species